ensembl:lncRNA
GAGUAAUUGUAAACAUCUGCUAAAGAAAAACCGAAAACAUGACUAAGAGAGAAAUGAACUUCAACAUAAAGCAUUGUGUGAACAGAUCCACCGCAAAAAAACACCAUUUCCGUGGGUCAGUUCUAUUCUGAAUGUGAAAAAAGUUGUUGAUAAAAAUAAAUGUUUGAUUCCAGCUAAAAACAUUUUGCUUAAAGUCAGGCUGUCCGUCUGCUCAAAUAUCAAGGAAUGUGGCUACUCUUACAUUUCUGCAGCAGCUUUGGCCCCUGCUGCUCCUCUUGCCUUGUUCCAACAGAAGCAUUUGCACAAGCACAGAGAACUGGACUCAAACUAAUCUGACAGAAAGAUGUUUUUUUUCCUUGUUCUUCUGGGUUAUUUUUUAACGGGAUCGCUGAGGCGAUCAGAUUGUGAUGAUAGCUCAUGCAGAAAAGCUGCUAAAUUUCUAACCGUUGCCUCAAAAUGCUGACAAACUUCAGUGUCGUAAUGAUAAUAUAAAUGAAGGUUGAAGAACCCAAAAUGAAACCUGUUUCCCAGCUCUGACAAUGUCAUUAUUGGUGGUAGAUAAUUGUGCAUAAAGAACAAAGGAAUCUUGCAAGUACAGUAACCUACAGAUGACAGUCAGCAAGGAUUUGCAGAAAAUGCAAUAUAUGAACAAAUCUCUGAACUCCACUUGGGGAAUUCUCAAGUAACUCUCAGUUUACUAUCUAGUUGUCAUCCCUAACCACGUAAACUUCUGUGUGUGUGUGUGUGUGUGUGUGGUAUAGCAAAAUAGCAACACCAUUUGGCAAGAGAUUUAUAUUUAGGAAGUGAAUGGAGGCUUUGAGAAACCCUGUAGUAGUUUUCAAACAUGUUUAGAAAACUGAUUAGAAAACUCUUUAGAAACUACCAUUCAGUUGAAGAAUAUUAUGUAUCUUUUAGAAACGCUGUUGGCUUUCAUAGACUGCUUGGAAUAUCUUAGUGUCAGUAUUGGGAAAAUAUAUUCCUUCGUGCACUGUGAUAUAUUUCUGCAAAGCAAACUUACUACCAACUAGAACAGGUUUUCUUUCCUGUGGUUUCUCAUCUGUUUCUGCUCAGUCAAGGUGCAUCUGGGAAUACAUUUCCCCUUGCAGCAGCAGGUGGCGUUGAAUAGCACACGUUAUUCUCACACUUACAAUUAUUUUGUCUCAUAUGUAGUAAAACCUCCUCUCCCAAAAGAGAUAACCCACAAGAGAAAUUCAACAAGUUUUUAUAGAUGUAGCAGAUGCUCUACAUGACAGGGGGUAGGGGUCAAAUUCUUCCAGCUUUAAUUACACUGAGAAAUAAGACCAUAAAUAAUGUAUUUAAGGAGCAGCAAAAGUAAAUGCAUUACAUUAUUUUUUUAAUUAAUUUUUCUUUACAUUUUUUUACCCACAAAAAUCUCUUGGCUUGCUCUUGCAGCACCACAGAGUUCAUGUUGUGGUACGGUGAUGUUUAUCAUGUACCAGUACUCAUUCACCCUGCAGAAAUUUGCAAACCUGAGUUUGUUUUGUGGCUUUCUUCAUCCACAUUACCUCCAUGGAACAAAGGAAUUGAUUCUUCUCCCAAAAACAUUAUCAUUGCAUCCUCAUGCAGUACAGUGCAGUGUUUCAGAUUUACACUGUGGUGAGAGCAGAAUGAGAAUUAGUAUUUUCCAAACUUUUCGCUGAAGCUUUUUCUAAAAACUACGGAAUAUUGCAGAAUCGGUUCAAAACAGACCUUCACAUGACUUCCUAAGCUUAUUUUUUAAAUAUCAUACAAAUAACAUAAAAUGAUAUCUUUAUGUGCACACAAGUAAAACCUAAGAAUGAAAUAGAAACCUUUUACAAGCAAGUGACUGUACCUCGGUCUGUAGUCAGUCUUAGCAGUGAUUAUGAGUAUUUAAGAAAUCCAUCCAUCUUCCUUUCAUCAACAGUCACUUUUGCAUUUGCAUAUCUAAUAAUUUAUGGCAUGUCCUGACCCCAAGCAGUAAUUGAACCAAUAGAUCUUCGGACCAGAUUUACACUGGUCUGGCUGCCACAGUAAUGUAACUCUGCAGGAGUUUUGGAUUAUUCCAAAUGCCAUCUCCUCUUCUGAAAGACUCACAGUCACGGGCUAAAUUUUACCUCCAAAUGUCAAGGCAGAAACUCUAUAGCUUAGUUUAAACUAUCUAGCUCUCCUUUUGGAAUACUUUAGAUAAAAACAGGAGGCACAGUGAUCACUCCCAACAUUGCCCUUGGUAGAUUGAUCUUAAUGUAAGAUUCUGUAAUAAUAAAUUAAUUCUCCUAAGAGUAUAAAACCAUGGAAGAGCCUAAAGUGUAGAAAUGAAAGGAGGAAAUCUAUAGCAGAGUUUGUAAAUGGUAAUGUAAAAAAAAAAUAGAAAUAAAAGGGGAGAGACACUGUUAUGUUGGUGAGGGCUCUGAUGAUCACAAACAGGCUGAUGAGAAUCGAGCUUCAAGUAGGAGAUAGGGUGCUCUUCUGACUUGAGCAAGCCAUGGCACAGCACAAAAAUACCCAGCCAACUGCCUGUGUUUCUUCUUCUCAAAAUGUGAUUUAGAGACCAAUUUCAAGGCAGCAUUAUAUGCUUCAGUAAAGGGUUCUCAAAAGCUUUGAAUAAGAAAAAUACCGGCAAACACACAGCUCUGCACUGUUGCAGGCACUUUGCUGAAUACUAAGUAUUGAGAAAAUACAGCAAUAGAAGUUGUGUCUUUUCCAGCAGGUAUUCCUUGGGGAAAAUCUCUCACUGCUCUUCACCUGUUUCUGACUGUAACAGAAGAGUCAGGUGCACAGACCGGUCACACUGCUGCUGCUUCCAAACAGUAUUCCAGACAUUAUAAAAAGAUGCUGGGUCUGAAAUUUUAUAACAAGUCUCAUCAGUUGGCUGUUUUAUUUUCCUGGAAAGGAGCUCAACUGAACAAGCUCUGGCAGACACACAGAGCUAUGCUGUUGCCACUGACAGGAGUCCCAGAACAACACAUACAGUCUGUGAGAAAAUGCUACUGUCUCACAACUGUGGAAAAAAAAGAAAAGAGCAGCAAAGGUACGAACGAGGGAUGCAGUAUUAAUCUAUUGAUGAUUAAGUGCUGCCAUUGUUCCUUAAUAGCUAAGUUCAAUGAUGAUAGACAUCCUGAAAAAUAGAUAGAUAGACAGAAAGAUAGAUAUCCUCAGCUACAUCAACCAUCCAUAAUAUCCCAUGUGCUGCCAUCACUGCUUUGCCUGACCAAUUGCCUGUGUAACCUGUUCCAUCUUGUAUGAUCAAUAUUAGCACUUCACUAAGCAUGCAGUUACAGCUAUCUGCUAGCAAAGGAAGAACCUCAUCUUGCCUCUUUGUAAUGAAAGAUGAUCAUCUUGAAGAAGAAAUGCAAUUUCCUAUACCGAUACUUUCAUUUAAUUGUUUUCAGUGACUUGUUUGAUGCCUGUGUUCUACUUAUUAUGUAAAUAUAGCAAAAAGCAAAGUAUCAGAAAAUGAAUUAACAUUGAAAAGUUGAACAGGAAAACAGGGUUUGAUGUCCAAGCAAUGUCUCUGUGCCUCAGUUUUCCAUAAUUAAAGUGAGAUUAACAAUACCAUAACCACCUUUUGUGAGAUUCUUGUGGAUCAUUGAUUAGCAGACGUAAAAAGUUUCAGGGGCAGAAAUUCCCCUGGUGCCUCCAAAUAGUAAGUGGGCUGUGAUUCUCUUAGGAACUGACUGAGAUACCAAAGAAUGAUAAGAUACAGUAGCGCAGGAUCAAAAGGAGAGGAAGACAGGUCUCUGUGCAGUAUGGGAAUGACAGCACAGGAAGAAAAAUAUUGCUGGCCCUACCACCCUAAUCCUCUCAUUAACUGCCUAAGGGAGGACAGCACAGAAGAGGAAGUUCUUUAUCCCACCCAGCCACUGCUGAAAGAGUGGGUGUUCCUGGUGAGCAUCAGGAUAAAAACAGCAAAUACCAGCGAGAGACAGACAUUGUGACAUCUCCCUUGGCAUGGAAAUACAAAACGGUGGGAAGCUCCCUGUGCAGUGUGUGUGGUUGCAGUAAGAUCUCCUUGCCAUUACGCAGGAGGGGAUAAAUCUUGUUUCAAUGAAGCUGAAAGCAGUGCAGCUCAGCUGAAAUUAUCUGCAAAAAACAUAAGAAUGAAAAGGCCCCUGCCCUGUAAGUUGAUGUCUCCUGUGUUUCUGGCUCCCCUAUCAAUACUGUCUUUUUCGCUCUCUUUUUUUUUUUUCUCAUGUCAG